AUUGAACGCUGGCGGCAGGCCUAACACAUGCAAGUCGAGCGGAUGAAGGGAGCUUGCUCCUGGAUUCAGCGGCGGACGGGUGAGUAAUGCCUAGGAAUCUGCCUGGUAGUGGGGGAUAACGUCCGUAAACGGGCGCUAAUACCGCAUACGUCCUGAUGUAGAAAGUGGGGGAUCUUCGGACCUCACGCUAUCAGCUGAGCCUAGGUCGGAUUAGCUAGUUGGUGGGGUAAAGGCCUACCAAGGCGACGAUCCGUAACUGGUCUGAGAGGAUGAUCAGUCACACUGGAACUGAGACACGGUCCAGACUCCUACGGGAGGCAGCAGUGGGGAAUAUUGGACAAUGGGCGAAAGCCUGAUCCAGCAAUGCCGCGUGUGUGAAGAAGGUCUUCGGAUUGUAAAGCACUUUAAGUUGGGAGGAAGGGCAGUAAGUUAAUACCUUGCUGUUUUGACGUUACCAACAGAAUAAGCACCGGCUAACUUCGUG
rnacentral:rRNA from 1 species